CUCAGUGUGGGUAAACCACCAAUAACGAUUUACAGUCAAGCUGCCAAUAAUGUGGAUGAACCACAGAAAUGCAAAUAAACAACCAAUAUAAGUGUAGACGAGCUAUUAGAAAAUAGCGAUAAGUUGCAGGUAAGCUGCUAGAAAACAGUGUCACAGUUUUCAGCAUGUUUUUCCACGCGUCAAUGAUCAAUAUCCAUUAUACAGUAAACAUUACAAAGUAUAUCACAACUUACAUAAACAAUCAGAAUUAUGACACAUACUUGUACAAUGCAUACAUCCCAUACACAAUCAAACAAUCCUCAAACUGUACCUCUUAUAUACGACUUACCUAUUUAAGUACGUACCUUAUUUGGCACACCAUUUAUUUGAUUUUCGGCCAUUCGGCCAUGCCACAAACAACAAGCAUAAUUUUACCAAUUUUCAUCAUAUAACAUUAAUUUAUAACUAUUAACACAAAGGUAAGACUCACACACGCAGACACCAUUCACUUAGAUUAAGGGUCCCUUUGGAUUCUAACGCACUACAGUGCGUUGAUAAAUUUCCCCUUUAUUUUCAAUCGGACUGCACUGGGAUUGGACUGGACAGCCUUUGGAACAUUUUGCUUCUAGCACAGUGAGGAGCUUCUACCGCACUGGACAGCCUUAAGCUGACUGGUGGUAAAAGCUCCAGCUGGGGCAGUUGACAUUUGGGAAGACAAUAAUACCCAUACUUGGCUUGGCUGAUGCAAAAUACUCAGGUGUAUGUAUAUAAACACACACAUUUAUAGAAGCAGUAUAUGAACGAACAUUGAUAUUUUAUACAUGUUAUGUUAGACAUAAGUGAGAAAACACCCUAUAUUUUAAUCCAAUCAACAGCAGUAAAUACAUAACCAUUGAUGUUUAUAAACAAAGGAAAGAAAUUGAAAAACCCAGUAGGUAAAUCGUCAACAUAACUGAUGAGCAUUUUGAGUUUGCUGCCACCUUCAGAAACAAAACAAGAAAAAAAAAACGAACCUUGGUAUGAGGCCAAAGUUGAUCAGGAAACACAUGCAUUGUGCAACCUUCUUUACCCGAUUCCCACUCCACAACAUGGUGCUUGCUAAGACACCUGAUCCAAAGCAAAACCAGAAACAAUCCUACUGCCUCAAUUUGAAGAAGUAAUCGUAAAUGGGAAUGGGAAAUGGGAAUGAGAAAUGGGAGGAGGGGAAUCGAUGGAAGAGGGGAAAUGGGAAUGGGAAAUGGGAGGAGGGCACGGUCGAAGAGGGGAAAUGGGAAUGGGAAAUGGGAGGAGGGCACGGUGGAAGAGGGGAAUCGAUGGAAAAGGGAAGAUGAGAAUGGGGAAAUUGCAUUGUAUUUGUGUAUUUUAAAAAUAAAAAAAUAUAUGUAAUGUAUUUUAAAAAUAUAUAUGUAGUGUAUUUUAAAAAUAAAAAAUAUAUAUAUGUAGUGUAUUUUUAAAAUAAAAAAUAUAUGUAAGUGUAUUUUAAAAAUAAAAAAUAUAUGUACUGUAUUUUAAAAAUAAAAAAUAUAUGUAGUGUAUUUUAAAAAUAAAAAAUAUAUGUACUGUAUUCGGUUUAUUCGAAUUACUUGAAGCAUGAAGAUCCAAUAUUUUUCUUGAUUCGCAUACUAAUUUUGAACUUAAAUCAUGAUAAUAAAAAAUUAUGGGAUUUGUGAAACAAAUUAGGGAAACAUUUCUUGUGAAGAUAUAGAACAACCCCAAAUGUAUAGAGAACUUGAACCAGUUGAAUCAAAGACUCUAGUGUAUUUUAAAAAUAAAAAUGGCCAAUAUUAAGAGAUAUUCCAAGUUAUUCAUUCGACAAGCAAGUUUUAAUAGUUAUUGCAACAAUGGUUUUGCAUAAUUACAUUCGAAGACAUGCUUGGUCAAAUGAUGAGGAUUUUCGAGAAUUUGAGAAUAUACCGGACAUGCCAGUCUCUUCAAGCUAGUUUGACAGAGGUGAAUCAAGUUCUUCUAACAGAGAAAGUGACCUUGAAAUCAUAGGGAAACCAUUGCAACUAGUUUAAUGAAUCAAUAUUUGUAAACACAUUUUGUAUCAUAACCUAAUUUCUAGUAAUAAUGAAACUUGUUAUGUCUUAUGUUACUAUAUUUUUUUUAUUAAAAAUCAUUCGUUUAGAUACUUCAAAAUUUGAUCCAAGUAUAAUGUUAUUAUUUGUGAAAAUAAUAUUUAUCAUUGUUAUAAAAAAUAUUUAAUUAUAACUAUAAAAAAUUAAAAAUAAUUAUCAUUUUAUCUAAUAAAGAAUUUAAAUUAAUUAUAUAAUUCAUUAAAAUAUUGGAAGAUACAUUUUAAUAUUUUAUUAAAUAAAUUUGCAUAUUUUAAUAAUUUUAAAAAAGUAAAAUAAUUUAAAUAACUUCUAUUAUAUAUCAAUUCUAAUAUGAUGUCCUUAAUAGUCAUUUUUCAUUCUUACCUCAUUCCACCAUUGUUUCUAAUCUCACCGCUACAGUACCCAAUCUCACCGCUACAGUAACUAAUCUCACCGCCACCGCUGUUUUUAACCUUACCGGAGGUAAACACACCGCCCAUCCAAACUAGCCCUAAAUCCCACACCUUAGUUUCAGAAAUUGUAGAACUACCAAUCUGCACCUUCGCUUCUAAGCCUUAGAUGAGCCUAGAUCCAAAAAUAACACUUAAAACCAGUAACUAAAAAUUAAUCUAAGGCCUUAGAGCAUUCAACCAAAACAACAACCAUUAACAGAAUAAAAUCGACACAAGAUCUUGCUUAAAUCCGCACUUACGCUAUCAUCGUUACUAGAUCUGAGAUAACGAUUGGACAAGACUAGAUGCACUAUCAAUUGGCAAGAUUAGGGGUUGUUUUAUCAGUGGAAAAAUCAAAGAAAUCACUGCUAUAAGGGGUGGCAAAUGAAGAGAAAACAACAGUCCAAAUCAAUGGCGUUCCAAGGGUGGUAACACCACAAACGGUGGUAGAAAAGGGGCUGACUAGGGCGACACAAAGGGAGAUCUUUGGGCAGAAAAUGGGACAAUUUUUAGGGCUAGAAACAGAAAUAGCAGCAAACAUCGACAAACAAAAGGAAAGAUAAGAGUAGGAAAAGAAAACUAACCAGUAUCACCACAAGUGAGGGAAAGGGGGCGGCAAUAGACAACAAAGGG
rnacentral:lncRNA from 1 species